rnacentral:lncRNA from 1 species
AAAAUCCACGAAUUUUGCCUCCCCCAUGGCCUGAUCUCCAUGGAGGAGGGCUCAUCUACAGCACCAAGAAGCCAUGGAGGAAGGGGUCUAAGGGGUGGCACUCCCCCAUGAUAGCCGGCCAGUGCAGGAGGAACCCCUGCGCCGCCGACGGCCGCCGGCGUCGCCCCGCACCUCACGUGCUGCCCCUUCUCCAUCCUCUCCGCCAUGAUGCCGCCUUCACAAACACCUCCAUCAUCAUCUCCUCCAUAGCUACAGCAGUCCACUCUCCCACAAACCUUUGUAAUCCCCUAUGUAAAC